rnacentral:rRNA from 1 species
UACAGGGGGGGCAAGCGUUGUUCGGAAUUACUGGGCGUAAAGGGUUCGUAGGUGGCCACCUAAGUCAGACGUGAAAUCCCUCAGCUUAACUGGGGAACUGCGUCUGAUACUGGGUGGCUUGAGUGCAGGAGAGGAAUGCGGAAUUCCAGGUGUAGCGGUGAAAUGCGCAGAUAUCAGGAGGAACACCGGUGGCGAAGGCGGAUCUCUGGGCCAUUACUGACGCUGAGGAGCGAAAGCGUGGGGAGCGAACGGG